GACGAACCGUACGAACGUUGUUCGGAAUUACUGGGCUUAAAGGGUGCGUAGGCUGCGCGGAAAGUUGGGUGUGAAAUCCCUCGGCUCAACCGAGGAACUGCGCUCAAAACUAUCGUGCUCGAGGGAGACAGAGGUGAGCGGAACUUAGGGUGGAGCGGUGAAAUGCGUUGAUAUCCUAAGGAACACCCGUGGCGAAAGCGGCUCACUGGGUCUCUUCUGACGCUGAGGCACGAAAGCUAGGGUAGCGAACGGG
rnacentral:rRNA from 1 species